rnacentral:rRNA from 1 species
CCCUUAGAUGUUCUGGGCUGCACGCGCGCUACACUGACGAAUGCAACGAGCUUAUAACCUUGGCCGAAAGGUCUGGGUAAUCUCCAAAUUUCGUCGUGAUGGGGAUAGAUUAUUGCAAUUAUUAAUCUUCAACGAGGAAUGCCUAGUAAGCGCAAGUCAUCAGCUUGCGUUGAUUACGUCCCUGCCCUUUGUACACACCGCCCGUCGCUCCUACCGAUUGAAUGGUCCGGUGAAGCGUUCGGACCGUGGCCUUUGGACGGUUCGCCGUCUGUUGGCUGCGGGAAGUUCGUUAAACCUUAUCAUUUAGAGGAAGGAGAANUCGUAACA